rnacentral:rRNA from 1 species
AUUGAACGCUGGCGGCAGGCCUAACACAUGCAAGUCGAACGGUAGCACAGAGAGCUUGCUCUCGGGUGACGAGUGGCGGACGGGUGAGUAAUGUCUGGGAAACUGCCCGAUGGAGGGGGAUAACUACUGGAAACGGUAGCUAAUACCGCAUAAUGUCGCAAGACCAAAGUGGGGGACCUUCGGGCCUCACACCAUCGGAUGUGCCCAGAUGGGAUUAGCUAGUAGGUGGGGUAAUGGCUCACCUAGGCGACGAUCCCUAGCUGGUCUGAGAGGAUGACCAGCCAAACUGGAACUGAGCCACGGUCCAGACUCCUACGGGAGGCAGCAGUGGGGAAUAUUGCACAAUGGGCGCAAGCCUGAUGCAGCCACGCCGCGUAUAUGAAGAAGGCCUUCGGGUUGUAAAGUACUUUCAGCGGGGAGGAAGGCGGUGGAGUUAAUAACUUCACCGAUUGACGUUACCCGCAGAAGAAGCACCGGCUAACUCCGUGCCAGCCGCCGCAGUAA